rnacentral:rRNA from 1 species
AAACUACGAAUACCGAAGAAUGUUAUCACGGGAGACACACGGCGGGUGCUAACGUCCGUCGUGAAGAGGGAAACAACCCAGACCGCCAGCUAAGGUCCCAAAGUCAUGGUUAAGUGGGAAACGAUGUGGGAAGGCACAGACAGCCAGGAUGUUGGCUUAGAAGCAGCCAUCAUUUAAAGAAAGCGUAAUAGCUCACUGGUCGAGUCGGCCUGCGCGGAAGAUGUAACGGGGCUAAACCAUGCACCGAAGCUGCGGCAGCGACACUAUGUGUUGUUGGGUAGGGGAGCGUUCUGUAAGCCUGCGAAGGUGUGCUGUGAGGCAUGCUGGAGGUAUCAGAAGUGCGAAUGCUGACAUAAGUAACGAUAAAGCGGGUGAAAAGCCCGCUCGCCGGAAGACCAAGGGUUCCUGUCCAACGUUAAUCGGGGCAGGGUGAGUCGACCCCUAAGGCGAGGCCGAAAGGCGUAGUCGAUGGGAAACAGGUUAAUAUUCCUGUACUUGGUGUUACUGCGAAGGGGGGACGGAGAAGGCUAUGUUAGCCGGGCGACGGUUGUCCCGGUUUAAGCAUGUAGGCUGAUUGUCCAGGCAAAUCCGGAUAAUCAAGGCUGAGGUGUGAUGACGAGGCACUACGGUGCUGAAGUAACAAAUGCCCUGCUUCCAGGAAAAGCCUCUAAGCAUCAGGUAACAUUAAAUCGUACCCCAAACCGACACAGGUGGUCAGGUAGAGAAUACCAAGGCGCUUGAGAGAACUCGGGUGAAGGAACUAGGCAAAAUGGUGCCGUAACUUCGGGAGAAGGCACGCUGGUGUGUAGGUGAAGUCCCUGCGGAUGGAGCUGAGACCAGUCGAAGAUACCAGCUGGCUGCAACUGUUUAUUAAAAACACAGCACUGUGCAAACACGAAAGUGGACGUAUACGGUGUGACGCCUGCCCGGUGCCGGAAGGUUAAUUGAUGGGGUUAUCCGUAAGGAGAAGCUCUUGAUCGAAGCCCCGGUAAACGGCGGCCGUAACUAUAACGGUCCUAAGGUAGCGAAAUUCCUUGUCGGGUAAGUUCCGACCUGCACGAAUGGCGUAAUGAUGGCCAGGCUGUCUCCACCCGAGACUCAGUGAAAUUGAACUCGCUGUGAAGAUGCAGUGUACCCGCGGCAAGACGGAAAGACCCCGUGAACCUUUACUAUAGCUUGACACUGAACAUUGAGCCUUGAUGUGUAGGAUAGGUGGGAGGCUUUGAAGCGUGGACGCCAGUCUGCGUGGAGCCAACCUUGAAAUACCACCCUUUAAUGUUUGAUGUUCUAACGUUGGCCCCUGACCGGGGUUGCGGACAGUGUCUGGUGGGUAGUUUGACUGGGGCGGUCUCCUCCCAAAGCGUAACGGAGGAGCACGAAGGUUAGCUAAUCCUGGUCGGACAUCAGGAGGUUAGUGCAAUGGCAUAAGCUAGCUUGACUGCGAGCGUGACGGCGCGAGCAGGUGCGAAAGCAGGUCAUAGUGAUCCGGUGGUUCUGAAUGGAAGGGCCAUCGCUCAACGGAUAAAAGGUACUCCGGGGAUAACAGGCUGAUACCGCCCAAGAGUUCAUAUCGACGGCGGUGUUUGGCACCUCGAUGUCGGCUCAUCACAUCCUGGGGCUGAAGUAGGUCCCAAGGGUAUGGCUGUUCGCCAUUUAAAGUGGUACGCGAGCUGGGUUUAGAACGUCGUGAGACAGUUCGGUCCCUAUCUGCCGUGGGCGCUGGAGAAUUGAGGGGGGCUGCUCCUAGUACGAGAGGACCGGAGUGGACGCAUCACUGGUGUUCGGGUUGUCAUGCCAAUGGCACUGCCCGGUAGCUAAAUGCGGAAGAGAUAAGUGCUGAAAGCAUCUAAGCACGAAACUUGCCCCGAGAUGAGUUCUCCCUGAGACUUUAAGUCUCCUGAAGGAACGUUAAAGACGAUGACGUUGAUAGGCCGGGUGUGUAAGCGCAGCGAUGCGUUGAGCUAACCGGUACUAAUGAACCGUGAGGCUUAACCUU